UACGGAGGGGGCUAGCGUUGUUCGGAAUUACUGGGCGUAAAGCGCGCGUAGGCGGCUUUGUAAGUUAGAGGUGAAAGCCCGGGGCUCAACUCCAGAACUGCCUUUGAUACUGAGAAGCUUGAGUCCGGGAGGAGUGAGUGGAACUGCGAGUGUAGAGGUGAAAUUCGUAGAUAUUCGCAAGAACACCAGUGGCGAAGGCGGCUCACUGGCCCGGUACGUG
rnacentral:rRNA from 1 species